GAAAAAAGAAGGAACGCAAGCUGGAGUAGAGGCAACUAUUGUCAUAAUGGGAAGUAAAAGUGCGGGAAAAACAUCUGUUAUUCUGAGAUUUCUGGAGAAAGAGGAACACCCAAAGCCAACAACUGCUUUGGAAUACACGUUUGGGAGAAAAGCCAAAGGACACAACAUGUCUCUGAACCAGCAAAAUGCCUUCUAAUCCACCCCAAGCAGCAAGCCAGCCACAAGUAACAACUCAUCUCCCACUACAAUGGAAAUUUGAUGGUGGAAAUGGACUGAAUCAAAGUGAGUUGUGGCCAAUGUGGAUUAAGCGCUUUGAACCCUAUCGGAUAGCAUCAGGCCUGUCUCAAAAUCAACAAAGGGAACAGGUGAGCACUUUGCUCUAUGCUAUGGGUGAUUGUGCCAAUGACAUACUAAUAAUUCUAAGACUCAAUGAAGAAACUGCAACAUAUGAUGAAGUCACUCAGGCACUAAAUAAACAUUAUGAAGGCCGCCGUAAUGUCAUUGUAGAAAGGGCUUGUUUUAACACACGAAAGCAACAGCCAGGGGAACCUAUCGAUGCUUUCAUUCAGGACCUGUACCAUCUAGCUGACCACUGUGCAUAUGCGGAACUGAAAGACAGUCUCAUAAGAGAUAGAAUGGUCGUAGGGGUGUCAGAUUAGAAAUUGUCGGAUCAUCUCCAGUCCAAAUCUGACCACACCCUUGACAAAGCAGUCCAGGUAUGCCGCCGGGCGGAAUCACGAAAACUAAACCAAGAUGUGGUGAGAGGUGAAAUAAACUCACCUUCACAAGUCGAUCACCUCCGGUUGUCAUCUGCAUCCCACAUGGGAACGAGUAGAACCGGACAAAGUCAACGCCAAAAUGCACAGUCAUCUGCCACACCCAUCCAGGGAAGUUCAUGCUCAUGGUGUGGGUAAGAAUGACAUACUCGUGCUCACUGCCCUGCCAAAGACUCAAUUUGCUCGAGCUGUCACAAAAGGGGACAUUACAAAUGUGUCUGCCGCAGUUCAAAAGUUCACGAGGUGCAGGAUCUGCUUGAUGAUGACUCGGACUUACCAUUCCUUGGUGAAGUCUCCAGCAACAAAGACUACUGGACAGCCGAGAUAUCCGUCAAUGGACACAAAACAUGCUUCAAGUUAGACACUGGGGCAACAGUUUCUAAGGUCACUGAGCUCGAUGCCAAUAGUGGAUUCUGGCAACUUCCACUGGACGAUCAGUCAAAAUUGCUCACGAUACUGUUGGAUACUGUUUCAACAGGCUUCCCUUUGGCAUAUGCUCUGCACCAGAAAUAUUCGGACAAUGUCUGGUAUUCUGGUGGGCCUCGAGGGAGUAAUCUGCCACAUGGACGAUGUACUCAUCCACAGUACAUCUCAAGCUGUAAAUGAUCACAGGGUGAGAGCAGCCCUACAAUGACUGCAAGAGGCAGGACUAACACUCAAUAGCAAGUGUGAGUUUACAAGGAACACAAUCAAGUUCCUUGGCCACAUUGUAGAUGCAUCUGGUCUCCUCGCAGAUACCCAGAAGACAGCAGC